GAUCAUUAAAGAAUCGCCCCGUUUUUUGAAAUGGGUUCUAUUCCCAAACCGUGUAUACAUACCUUUGUUGCUUUGGCAGGCCGCCUUUUAGGCGUCGGCUCCGGCUGACUGCGCCUGCCAGAGGACCCAAACUCGUUUGUUUAGUGAUGUCUGAGUACUAUAUAAUAGUUAAAACUUUCAACAACGGAUCUCUUGGUUCUGGCAUCGAUGAAGAACGCAGCGAAAUGCGAUAAGUAAUGUGAAUUGCAGAAUUCAGUGAAUCAUCGAAUCUUUGAACGCACAUUGCGCCCCUUGGUAUUCCGAGGGGCAUGCCUGUUCGAGCGUCAUUAUAACCACUCAAGCCUCGGUUUGGUCUUGGGGUUCGCGGUCUCGCGGCCCUUAAAAUCAGUGGCGGUGCCGUCUGGCUCUAAGCGUAGUAAUUCUCUCGCUAUAGGGUCCCGGCGGUUACUUGCCAGAACCCCCCAUUUUUUACGGUUGACCUCGGAUCAGGUAGGGAUACCCGCUGAACUUAAGCAUAUCAAAGCCGGGAGGAAAAGGCAUCGAUGAAGAACGCAGCGAAAUGCGAUAAGUAAUGUGAAUUGCAGAAUUCAGUGAAUCAUCGAAUCUUUGAACGCACAUUGCGCCCCUUGGUAUUCCGAGGGGCAUGCCUGUUCGAGCGUCAUUAUAACCACUCAAGCCUCGGCUUGGUCUUGGGGUUCGCGGUCUCGCGUCCCUUAAAAUCAGUGGCGGUGCCGUCUGGCUCUAAGCGUAGUAAUUCUCUCGCUAUA
rnacentral:rRNA from 1 species